UACGAAGGGGGCUAGCGUUGCUCGGAAUCAUUGGGCGUAAAGCGCGCGUAGGCGGUUACUUAAGUCGAAUGUGAAAGCCCUCGGCUUAACUGAGGAAGUGCAUCCGAAACUGAGUAGCUAGAGUACGAAAGAGGGUCGCGGAAUUCCCGGUGUAGAGGUGAAAUUCGUAGAUAUCGGGAGGAACACCGGUGGCGAAGGCGGCCUUCUGGACGGAUACUGACGCUGAGGCGCGAAAGCCAGGGAGCAAACGGG
rnacentral:rRNA from 1 species